rnacentral:lncRNA from 1 species
UGUGAGAUUUUCAGAGAUCUCAGGCUGUGUGUUUGUGUGAAACCCAAUAGGGCAGAGAGAGAGAGAGUUUGAUUUAGAUGAUUUAGAGAUAGAUAGAUUAGUGGAAGUGUUUAUGAGUGAUUAAGUGUUUACUCAGAUCAGAAACAAAAGACUUUGAGAGAUUAGGAGUUUAGAGACUAAGAAAGGGAGAGAUUAAGGGAUUCUGAUCCAAGAAUACUUUUCUAUUACGAAGGAGAAGGG